GACGUAGGAUGCGAGCGUUGUUCGGAUUUAUUGGGCGUAAAGCGAGCGUAGGUGGCUAGUUAAGUCUGGUGUUAAAGCUAGAGGCUCAACCUCUGUGAUGCACUGGAAACUGGCUGGCUUGAGUAUGGUAGGGGAAGGUGGAAUUCCGGGUGUAGCGGUGGAAUGCGUAGAGAUCCGGAAGAACACCGGUGGCGAAGGCGGUCUGCUGGGCAGUUGCUGACACUGAGGCGCGACAGCGUGGGGAGCAAACAGG
rnacentral:rRNA from 1 species